UACAGAGGUCCCAAGCGUUGUUCGGAUUCACUGGGCGUAAAGGGUGCGUAGGUGGUGGGGUAAGUUUGAGGUGAAAGCUCCGGGCUCAACCCGGAAAUGGCCUUGAAGACUAUCCUGCUCGAGGGUUGGAGGGGGGACUGGAAUUCUCGGUGUAGCGGUGGAAUGCGUAGAGAUCGGGAAGAACAUCAGUGGCGAAGGCGGCCUGCUGGGCUGUUGCUGACGCUGAGGCGCGACAGCGUGGGGAGCAAACAGG
rnacentral:rRNA from 1 species